AGAGUUUGAUCCUGGCUCAGGAUGAACGCUAGCGGCAGGCCUAAUACAUGCAAGUCGAACGGGCAGCAAUGCCAGUGGCAAACGGGUGCGUAACGCGUAAGCAACCUGCCCACAACUGGGGGAUAGCCUUGCGAAAGCGGGGGUAAACCCGCAUGGUCCUUGAUGCUCACCUGGGCGUUUAGGUAAACAUUUAUGGGUUGUGGAGGGGCUUGCGUCUGAUUAGCUAGUUGGCGGGGUAAGGGCCCACCAAGGCGAUGAUCAGUAGGGGUUCUGAGAGGAUUGGCCCCCACACGGGUACUGAGAGACGGACCCGACUCCUACGGGAGGCAGCAGUAGGGAAUAUUGGGCAAUGGGCGCAAGCCUGACCCAGCCAUGCCGCGUGAAGGAUGAAGGCGCUCAGCGUUGUAAACUUCUUUUAUCUGGGAAGAACUGUCGGGGUGCGCCCUGACUUGCCGGUACCAGAGGAAUAAGCACCGGCUAACUCCGUGCCAGCAGCCGCGGUAAUACGGAGGGUGCAAGCGUUGUCCGGAUUUAUUGGGUUUAAAGGGUGCGUAGGUGGUUUCUUAAGUCUGGUUUGAAAGUCGGCGGCUUAACCGUUGGAUGUGGCUGGAAACUGGGGAACUUGAAUGGGUUGGCGGCUGCCGGAACGGGUCAUGUAGCGGUGAAAUGCAUAGAUAUGACCCAGAACACCGAUUGCGAAGGCAGGCAGCUACGACUCGAUUGACACUGAGGCACGAGAGCAUGGGGAGCCAACAGGAUUAGAUACCCUGGUAGUCC
rnacentral:rRNA from 1 species